rnacentral:lncRNA from 10 species
CCUCUCUUAUUUCUUUCUCCCCUCCAUUGGGAAGUUGAUGUCACCCAGCUUAGCCAAGUCCCGGGAAACCCCUUGAGAAAUAAGCUUCCCUAGCUGGGUAUCUACACCUUGAAAAGGAUCCAGCUAGGUGAUAGUUUCUGCUGGGGGGCUUGGGUCCUACCUGGGAACUUCCUGUCUCAGAUAGAGACAGGGCUUUUGGAAGGCCUAGUGGGCGACUCAGAUAGUAGAGGCUGUAAGGUGACUGCUGGAGCCAGACCUGCAUCUCCCCUCCCUGGGCAGAGCACAGGCACAGGCUGGCAUGGGAAGCCCCAGUCAAGCAGAAACUAGGGCUGGGGGGCUAGAGGCCAAAGGGAGGGCUCCUAGGUGCUGCUGUGUUGUAGCUGCUCUGCAGGCUAGGCAGGGACUGUCGAGGGAGAGGAGGAAAAGGACACUCCAGGUGAGGCAAAGACACAGAGGCAGGAAUGGACACUGUGUAGGAGGACCAGCUAUAAGGUUUGGGUUUGGCUGGCUUGGGAGAGGUACGGUCUUCAUGGCCAGUGAGAAACAAGCCUAGAGAAUGGUUUAUCUCUAGAGAAAGAGUUGUCCAAGGGUUCAGGGGCUGGACCAGUUACCCAGCAUGCUGCCUGCCCAUCUCCACCCACCCCCACCCAAUCCCUGGGGUGCUGUGUUCUCUGGGCAAGGGGCCGGGGGCAUCAGGGAGGUGGCAGAGGGAGGGGGAAGCAUGCAAUCCCA